UUGCACGCUGGCGGCCGGCCUCACCCCUGCAAGUCGCGCGGAUGAAGGGAGCUUGCUCCUGGCUUCAGCGGCGGACGGGUGAGUAAUGCCUAGGAAUCUGCCUGGUAGUGGGGGAUAACGUCCGGAAACGGGCGCUAAUACCGCAUACGUCCUGAGGGAGAAAGUGGGGGAUCUUCGGACCUCACGCUAUCAGCUGAGCCUAGGUCGGAUUAGCUAGUUGGUGGGGUAAAGGCCUACCAAGGCGACGAUCCGUAACUGGUCUGAGAGGAUGAUCAGUCACACUGGAACUGAGACACGGUCCAGACUCCUACGGGAGGCAGCAGUGGGGAAUAUUGGACAAUGGGCGAAAGCCUGAUCCAGCCAUGCCGCGUGUGUGAAGAAGGUCUUCGGAUUGUAAAGCACUUUAAGUUGGGAGGAAGGGCAGUAAGUUAAUACCUUGCUGUUUUGACGUUACCAACAGAAUAAGCACCGGCUAACUUCGUG
rnacentral:rRNA from 1 species